CAGUCUCCCACUGUCUCCAGAAGUCGUGGCCUUCCAGAACAGUCUGCCCCUAAAGGAAGUGUGGGGCAGGCGGCACCCUGGGCAGGCUGCUCCCACUGGUGGGGACCACUUCACAGAGCCCCCUCCCCAUCCACGCCCCAGAGACCCUGCCUUUCCACCCGGAGGCCAAGACCAAUUGCACCCUCAAAAGCAUGGAGGACGUUGGCAAGAAGAGCCCUGACCUCAGCGGCCUGUGUUCGUUAGUAGAAGAGGGGAUGGUGAGAGCCUGAGCCCCAUCGUAGCACAGUAUUAUGUGUGGUUGGGAAAAAGGAAAAAAACAAAAAAACCAAACACAGUGGUGUGGAACACUUCAAAACCUAGAAACGCUGUAGGAACAAUUCUGUGGAGGCAUGGAUGCAGAGGACUUCCUGGGUCCUGGUCGUUACCUGGCGCUCAGUGCAUGGACUUGGCUGUUGGAAAACCACGAAGACUAACGUAAUGGUUCUUCCUCUUAGUCUCUCUGUCCCUGACUUUUCACACUAGAGCAAAUGCCUCACCCUCCCGAGAAACCCAGAAAGAAGAUAUGGCUGGCUCACGACUAUGUGGGGAGGGAAAGCUGCUGGGUUCAGGGAGGAGGGGUCGGGAGGAAAAGCUAGGAAGGGGUGAGCCGAGGUGUUGCUGAGAUGAUUUUCUGCUGUGCAGAGCUAGUGCUGAUGUCUCAUGUCAACUUCCCUGGUUCUCUGGGGUCCCCGCUCCUCUGAGCAGCUGCGUAGAGAAUUCCCCACAUAUCCAAAGCUGCUGGGGGAGCUGGGGGCGGGCGAGGGACUUUGCUGCCAGGUCGGGGUCCUCCUUGCCUCCCCGAAGUUGAUCAAGUUGAUCUGCCAGCGUCCUGGUCCUGCCGUCUCAUCCUUUGGGACUGCUCCUUGCUGAUGCCUCCUCUCCGUGUGAACUGCCCGAGGCAAACGACGACCUUGAACCAGAACGGCCAGGGUGCACUUUACUUUCCUUGGAAGGAAGUAGCUUCUGGCCAGGGUUUCUGCUCAGGCUCUAGUCCCCGGCAGUGUGACUGUUUACACGGUUUGGCAAUAGGUUCAGUUCUGAUUGCUUCAGAGUGGCUGGUCUAUUUAGUUUCCUUUGGUUUCCUUCCUCCCCAAACUGUCAGGAAAAUCAAACUGAAACCACCCUAGGAAAUUGCUGGUUGCCUCUCCCCAUGUGGUGAUAAGUGUUUCCCUCUCCCGGACAUCGUUUCUCUCCCUUACAACCCAGCGCCCGUGCCGUAGAGUGUCUGACUGGAUCCUCUGUUGCGUAUUCUCAUGGUGCCUGCUGGUUUGAUGUGGAGCUACCCUGUGAAAUAAAACAGCUUAACUUUUCCCAAA
ensembl:lncRNA